UGUUUCUUCUUUUGUU
rnacentral:sRNA from 1 species